rnacentral:tRNA from 2 species
UCCCUGGUGGCUCAGAGGUUAAAGCAUCUGCCUGCAAAGCAGGAGACCCAGGUUCGAUUCCUGGGUUGGGAA